rnacentral:rRNA from 1 species
AACGGCCGCGGUAUCCUAACCGUGCGAAGGUAGCGUAAUAACUUGUCUCCUAAUUAGGGUCCUGUAUGAACGGCUACAUGAGGGCCUAACUGUCUCUUGCAACCAAUCAAUGAACCUGAACUUUCAGUUUAAAAGCUGAAAUGAACCCAUGGGACGAGAAGACCCCGUGGAACUUUUAAGUGGCCCACUACUUAAACCAACAAAAGCCCACUGACAAAAACAGGCCACCAACACUUUAGGCACAGAAGGAUACCACUUUUGGUUGGGGCGACUGCGGAGAAAAACAAAACCUCCAUGCAAAAGGACUUACCACCCAUCACAGGCCGACAGGCCAAAAAUAAUAAUCUCUUUGACCCAGUAAACUGAUCAACGAACCAAGCUACCCCGGGGAUAACAGCGCCAUCCUCUUUAAGAGUCCAUAUCGCCAAGAGGGCUUACGACCUCGAUGUUGGAUCAGGACACCCUGGCAGUGCAGCCGCCGCCAAGGGUUCGUUUGUUCAACGAUUAA